rnacentral:tmRNA from 1 species
GGGGAUGACCGGUUUUGACAGCGUGUAAACACGGCAAGCAAGCAUGCAGAGCUUUGAUGUGCAAGCUCUAUAAUCACAACGCAUCGACCUAUAAUUGGCGAAAAUAACAACUACGCUCUCGCUGCGUAAUCUGAAGUACAGUAGGAUAGCUUAAUCGGUGCCACAGUGGCACUGACGAGACAUCACCCCAUUGCCCCCGUUCCGAGACGUUUGGAAAAGGUGGUGCUAAGAAAAUCGGAAAUUGGCUGCGAGUUCGCUCCGGCAAGCAGCUGAAAUAUUUGGAGAUAAGCCGCCGGUUGGUAGUCGUGAGCCUGCCGACGGUCGAAAACCAAGUCAAUGACUAAGCAUGUAGAAAACCUGUUGGGUUCACGUUUGGACGAGGGUUCAAAUCCCUCCAUCUCCACUU